AGUAGCUGAUAUAUUUAUAAUGGUUAUCCAGCAGUGGUAAUACAAAUGAUCAGUAACGGUAGCUAUUUUAUAUGAACGGUACUGCUAGUAGAUUUAUAGCGGUUAUCCAGCAGCGGUGAUACAGAUGAUGGAUCUUUUCAAACAUUAGCUGGGCAUAUAUAUCAUCAUGGAUAGAUACUUGAUUACAUAUAAAACACAUGACCACAAAGGGAUGUUUAGCACAUAGAUGAUUACAAAAAUCUGAAGUCUAUUGAUGUCUUAUUGUUCAGAGCAGGAACAAAAGGGUUAGGGCAUCAUUGGAACUAAACAUGGAGUAUACUGCAGACGAAACAAAAAGUGGCUUCUCCAGGGGUCACACAUGCAUUGUAGGUAAGACAGAUCCAACAAAGAUAAUUAGAAACGGCCUUUCAUAGUUUCCAGGCGUUGUUCUAACUUCAUACCUAUGAAGCGUAAUUCUUUGCCAAUUCCUCAAUGCCUAUAAGUGCUGCUAUCAUAACUCCUUUGGUGUCAUCUUGUCCUUUUAGGUGGCGAACAGUUGUCGUGUUCUGCAGAAAACAAAAGGGCAGAAGUUGAUGUGACAUAACACAUAACACAUAACAUGUGAAUAAAGAUGACAUCCUUGUGGCACUCAAAGAAAUAGUGCUCAUAUGGUUAAUUUAAAUACUUAAUCGUAUCCAACUCCCACCGUUCCUAAAUAUAAGUCCUUUUAGAGAUUUCAAUGCGGACUACAUACAGAACAAAAUAAGUGAAUCUACAUUCUAAAAUAUGUCUAUAUACAUCCAUAUGUAAUUUGUAUUGGAAUCUCUAAAAAGACUUCUCCUCAUCAAGAAGAUCACAUACACUUUAUCUAUCCUGUACAAUGAGCAUAGGACAAGCUCAGCUAGUGUAACUACCAAUUAGCUAUGUGAUGAUCAGCUUAUAAGAAAAUCAACUUUGAUUAUGUGUCUUGCGCCAAGACUACUCCAGAAACAUGCAUGUUGAAUGAAAUGAACAAACAAAUAGCCAAAAGACCAUUGGCUAUCCUUGACUGGCUAGUUGACUAAAUGGCUCAGGAAAAUAAAUUGUCAUGACAUAUUAUAAAUAAUAAAAAGGCAAAAGGCCACAAUAUGUGGUACAUAAUGUUCACAGUCCAUCGGCUUCACCAAACACUAAAAAGGGGUAAGCAUAAAUACACCUCGCUAAUCCCAUGGAGGCACUUCUCACAAAAAAAGGCAAAUGAAUGAAAACAGACAGGUAUCUUGUUUUCCUAGACUGUUGCAUGCAUGGCGAAAUGACUAUAGCAAAAAGAUGUGUGCUAUAGAUUUGAAGAAAAUACGGGUUCGCCUGUGAGGAAUAUACUAAAAGUCUACAACAAUAAUCAUAGUGAGGUAAUCAAGAAAAUAGUGCAAAUGCCUGAAUCUGAUAUGCUAUAGAACUCAUCCUUCCAUAUAUAGUUUUCCUAUCUUCCAUGUGGAAGAGAUUAAGGUAAAUACUAACAGUUCGAAUUUGUUUUAGAAUAUAGGAGAGGCAUAUAUAAGUAAACUAAAAGGAAAAACCUACACACACAUGGUGCAACACCAGUCAUGCUAUUUAUUUCAAGCACAAUGGUAAAUACUAACUUGCCAAACCUCAUAUCUUUACUAACUAUGAUACUGAAGAAGAAGUUACUGAAGAACAAACUAAUCAUUCCAGUGCUACAUAAUCAUGAAAAGGAAAAAAAGGGCAGCCCCAGUGCAUGUAGCUCCCGCUUGCGCAGGGUCUGGGGAAGGGUCCGACCACUUUGGGUCUAUUGUACGCAGCCUUUCCCUACAUUUCUGUAAGAGGCUGUUUCCAGGACUUGAACCCGUGACCUCAUGGUCACAAGGCAGCAGCUUUACCACUGCGCCAAGGCUCCCCUUCGCACAUAAUCAUGAAAAGGAACUGUGAUGAAAACCCAGGUAAAAAAGUAUGUAAGAUAUAACAAAAAGGGAGGCACACAUGAAUCAUUUCUUCUGUUGGAGGCAAAGAAUCUAAGGCCUUAUACCUCUAUCCCCAAUUCUUUCUCUCUUUAUCAGAAUAUAACUAAG
rnacentral:lncRNA from 1 species